rnacentral:misc_RNA from 1 species
UUGGAGGGGGACCUGCGGCCC